CAGUCGCCACGGGAACACGGAGGGUGCAAGCGUUAAUCGGAAUUACUGGGCGUAAAGCGCACGCAGGCGGUUUGUUAAGUCAGAUGUGAAAUCCCCGAGCUUAACUUGGGAACUGCAUUUGAAACUGGCAAGCUAGAGUCUUGUAGAGGGGGGUAGAAUUCCAGGUGUAGCGGUGAAAUGCGUAGAGAUCUGGAGGAAUACCGGUGGCGAAGGCGGCCCCCUGGACAAAGACUGACGCUCAGGUGCGAAAGCGUGGGGAGCAAACAGGAUUAGAUACCCGUGUAGUCCCUGUCUCUUAUAC
rnacentral:rRNA from 1 species